UACGUAGGGGGCGAGCGUUGUCCGGAUUUAUUGGGCGUAAAGAGCGUGUAGGCGGUUCGGUAAGUCUGUCGUGAAAUCCCCGGGCUCAACCUGGGAAUGGCGAUGGAUACUGGACAGCUAGAGUGUGUCAGAGGAUGGUGGAAUUCCCGGUGUAGCGGUGAAAUGCGUAGAGAUCGGGAGGAACAUCAGUGGCGAAGGCGGCCAUCUGGGACAACACUGACGCUGAAGCACGAAAGCGUGGGGAGCAAACAGG
rnacentral:rRNA from 1 species